ensembl:lncRNA
AUUUUGUAUAGCUGUGUUCCAGAAAUGGUUAGGAAUGUUUUAGAGUUAUUUUUAAACAUUUUAUUGUGACUUUUUGUUUGUAUUUCUUGUCCUUAGUUACCAUGGGUGAGCUCCUGAAUUCUGACUGAGGUACACUUGGCACGGCAUUCCUCAUGGAGGAGAAAAGGCACUAAGGUGAUGUUAAGGCACCUUUACUCUUCCCUGAUUUGGACUGCUUUGCUCCUGGACAGUCUCCUUAACAUUGACUUUAAGCUAUGAUGCAGCCUCUUAGCUUAAGAGUCUGUUUUGACAGCUGAUGCCAGCACAUAAAUCUUGCACUGGUCAAAACAAAUGGAACAGAAUGAAAACUAGAGCCAUGCUGUGUGAGGAUGCUGACAUCUGUGGAUAGUAACCAUCAACCCCUUGCUCACGAGAGCCUGCAGAGCUGCUUCUGGCCACACUGAAGACAGAGUUAAAUGUGAACUUGGCAGAGAGAGCAAAACAUGAAAUUGCCCAAAAUACACUUUUGCUCAGUAUUUUGCCUUUGUCCCGGAGAUGAUUUUGAACAAUUGCCUUUGGUAUCAUCCACUAGUUUCUUCCAUCAAAAGAUAUUUUGAUACUAUCUUACAAGGCAGAUAUGAGUAAUACGCGAGGUCAAUAAGGAAAUACUGACUUUCCAGGCCACAAAGGUGAAAGAGUUGUGUAUUAACUCAUUUCCAUACCUGCAAACAAGCAAAAACUGUCAACAGAGAGAGUGGCUUUACCAGGUGCUUUGAGAAGAACACCUUAGCCUAAAGUUGUAAGUAAACUUUAUUAUGAUGUCUAUAAAUAAAAUCUUCUAAAUAUUUUAUUUUAUUAAACUG